rnacentral:rRNA from 1 species
UACGUAGGGGGCAAGCGUUGUCCGGAUUUAUUGGGCGUAAAGAGCGUGUAGGCGGCUUUACAGGUCCGUUGUGAAAACUCGAGGCUCAACCUCGAGACGCCGGUGGAAACCGUAAAGCUAGAGUCCGGAAGAGGAGAGUGGAAUUCCUGGUGUAGCGGUGAAAUGCGCAGAUAUCAGGAGGAACACCGGUGGCGAAGGCGGAUCUCUGGGCCUGUCCUGACGCUCAGGCGCGAAAGCUAGGGGAGCAAACAGG